UACGUAGGUGGCAAGCGUUGUCCGGAUUUAUUGGGCGUAAAGCGCGCGUAGGCGGCCCGGUAAGUCCGUUGUGAAAGUCAAAGGCUCAACCUUUGAACGCCGAUGGAUACUGCUGGGCUAGAGUCCGGAAGAGGCGAGUGGAAUUCCUGGUGUAGCGGUGGAAUGCGCAGAUAUCAGGAGGAACACCAAUAGCGAAGGCAGCUCGCUGGGACGGUACUGACGCUGAGGCGCGAAAGCGUGGGGAGCGAACAGG
rnacentral:rRNA from 1 species